AUAAUGGGUUUUUAAUAAUGGGUUUUUAAUAAUGGGUUUUUUAAUAAUGGGUUUUUUAAUAAUGGGUUUUUAAUAAUGGGUUUUUAAAUAAUGGAUUUUUAAAUAAUGGCUUUUAAUAAUGCUUUUUUCUUUCAGUGGAAGACCGAAUCAACGAAUGCGGGGCAGAAUACACUUUAAAAACAAAAUCUAAAUGAGAGAAAACUAUAUUGAUGGAAGCAGAUUAUUAGUGACGGCAGGAAGGAAAGGUCACAGAAGCAGAGGAAGAAAAACAUGGGUAAGGAAAAUUGCAAACAGCGAUGGUAAGACUUUUUCAGGGACGGAAAAUUAAAUGGCAGAUGUUAUGAUGUCAAUGUAUGGUCUAAUUAAGAAGGAAUGAUGUUAUGAUGUCAAUGUAUGGUCUUAAUUAAAAAGGAAUGAUGUUAUGAUGUCAAUGCAUGGUCUAAAUUAAAAAGGAAUGAUGUUAUGAUGUCAAUGUAUGGUCUAAAUUAAAAAGGAAUGAUGUUAUGAUGUCAAUGCAUGGUCGAAAUUCAAAAAGGAAUGAUGUUAUGAUGUCAAUGGAUGGUCUAAUUAAAAAGGAAUGAUGUUAUGAUGUCAAUGGAUGGUCUAAAUUAAAAAGGAAUGAUGUUAUGAUGUCAAUGGAUGGUCUAAAUUAAAAAGGAAUGAUGUUAUGAUGUCAAUGGAUGGUCUAAAUUAAAAAGGAAUGAUGUUAUGAUGUCAAUGGAUGGUCUAAAUUAAAAAGGAAUGAUGUUAUGAUGUCAAUGCAUGGUCAAAAUUAAAAAGGAAGAUGUUAUGAUGUCAAUGGAUGGUCUAAAUUAAAAAGGAAUGAUGUUAUGAUGUCAAUGGAUGGUCUAAAUUAAGAAGGAAUGAUGUUAUGAUGUCAAUAGAUGGUCUAAAUUAAAAGGCAGAUGUUAUGAUGUCAAUGUAUGGUCUAAUUAAGAAGGAAUGAUGUUAUGAUGUCAAUGUAUGGUCUUAAUUAAAAAGGAAUGAUGUUAUGAUGUCAAUGGAUGGUCUAAAUUAAAAAGGAAUGAUGUUAUGAUGUCAAUGGAUGGUCUAAAUUAAAAAGGAAUGAUGUUAUGAUGUCAAUGGAUGGUCUAAAUUAAAAAGGAAUGAUGUUAUGAUGUCAAUGCAUGGUCUAAAUAAGAAGGAAUGAUGUUAUGAU